UACGAAGGGGGCUAGCGUUGCUCGGAAUUACUGGGCGUAAAGCGCACGUAGGCGGUCUUUUAAGUCGGGGGUGAAAUCCUGGAGCUCAACUCCAGAACUGCCUUCGAUACUGGAAGACUUGAGUCCGGGAGAGGUGAGUGGAAUUCCCAGUGUAGUGGUGAAAUUCGUAGAUAUUGGGAAGAACACCGGUGGCGAAGGCGGCUCACUGGCUCGUAACUGACGCUCAGGCGCGACAGCGUGGGGAUCAAACAGG
rnacentral:rRNA from 1 species